GACGAACGCUGGCGGCGUGCUUAACACAUGCAAGUCGAACGGUGAAGCGCUUUCCUUUUUGGUUGGUGUGGAUGAGUGGCGAACGGGUGAGUAACACGUGAGUAACCUGCCCCCUUCUUCUGGAUAACCGCAUGAAAGUGUGGCUAAUACGGGAUAUUCUGCGCCUGCUGCAUGGUGGGUGUGGGAAAGAUUGUGCCUUUGGGUGUUUUCGGUGGGGGAUGGGCUCGCGGCCUAUCAGCUUGUUGGUGGGGUGAUGGCCUACCAAGGCGGUGACGGGUAGCCGGCCUGAGAGGGUGGACGGUCACACUGGGACUGAGACACGGCCCAGACUCCUACGGGAGGCAGCAGUGGGGAAUAUUGCACAAUGGGCGCAAGCCUGAUGCAGCGACGCCGCGUGAGGGAUGGAGGCCUUCGGGUUGUGAACCUCUUUCGCCAGUGAAGCAGGCCUGUCCCUUGUGGGUGGGUUGACGGUAGCUGAUAA
rnacentral:rRNA from 1 species